rnacentral:rRNA from 1 species
UACAGAGGUCUCAAGCGUUGCUCGGAAUUACUGGGCGUAAAGCGCACGUAGGCGGAUCAUUAAGUCGGGGGUGAAAUCCUGGAGCUCAACUCCAGAACUGCCUUCGAUACUGGCGAUCUUGAGUCCGGGAGAGGUGAGUGGAACUCCGAGUGUAGAGGUGAAAUUCGUAGAUAUUCGGAAGAACACCAGUGGCGAAGGCGGCUCACUGGCCCGGUACUGACGCUGAGGUGCGAAAGCGUGGGGAGCAAACAGG